rnacentral:rRNA from 1 species
AUUGAACGCUGGCGGCAUGCCUUACACAUGCAAGUCGAACGGCAGCACGGGUGCUUGCACCUGGUGGCGAGUGGCGAACGGGUGAGUAAUACAUCGGCACAUGUCCUGUAGUGGGGGAUAGCCCGGCGAAAGCCGGAUUAAUACCGCAUACGAUCUACGGAUGAAAGCGGGGGGCCUUCGGGCUUCGCCCUAUAGGGUUGGCCGAUGGCUGAUUAGCUAGUUGGGGGGGUAAAGGCCUACCAAGGCGGCGAUCAGUAGCUGGUCUGAGAGGACGACCAGCCACACUGGGACUGAGACACGGCCCAGACUCCUACGGGAGGCAGCAGUGGGGAAUUUUGGACAAUGGGCGAAAGCCUGAUCCAGCAAUGCCGCGUGUGUGGAGAAGGCCUUCGGGUUGUAAAGCACUUUUGUCCGGAAAGAAAUCCUUGGCCCUAAUACGGUCGGGGGAUGACGGUACCGGAAGAAUAAGCACCGGCUAACUACGUG